rnacentral:rRNA from 1 species
CCUACGGGAGGCAGCAGUAGGGAAUAUUGCUCAAUGGGGGAAACCCUGAAGCAGCAACGCCGCGUGGAGGAUGAAGGUUUUCGGAUUGUAAACCCCUUUUGUUAGAGAAGAUAAUGACGGUACCUAACGAAGAAGCACCGGCUAACUCCGUGCCAGCAGCCGCGGUAAUACGGAGGGUGCAAGCGGUACUCGGAAUAAUUGGGCGUAAAGAGCGCGUAGGCGGGAUAGCAAGUCAGAUGUGAAAUCCUAUGGCUUAACCAUAGAACUGCAUUUGAAACUGUUAUUCUAGAGUGUGGGAGAGGUAGGUGGAAUUCGUGGUGUAGCGGUAAAAUGCGUAGAUAUCAAGAAGAAUACUGAUUGCGAAGGCAACCUGCUAGAACAUAACUGACGCUGAUGCGCGAAAGCGUGGGGAGCAAACAGGAUUAGAUACCCCAGUAGUC